rnacentral:rRNA from 1 species
GAUGAACGCUGGCGGCGUGCCUAAUACAUGCAAGUCGAGCGAACGGACGAGAAGCUUGCUUCUCUGAUGUUAGCGGCGGACGGGUGAGUAACACGUGGAUAACCUACCUAUAAGACUGGGAUAACUUCGGGAAACCGUAGCUAAUACCGGAUAAUAUUUUGAACCGCAUGGUUCAAAAGUGAAAGACGGUCUUGCUGUCACUUAUAGAUGGAUCCGCGCUGCAUUAGCUAGUUGGUAAGGUAACGGCUUACCAAGGCAACGAUGCAUAGCCGACCAGAGAGGAUGAUCGGCCACACGGGAACUGACACACGGUCCAGACUCCGACGGGCGGCAGCAGGGUGGAUUAUUGGACCAGGGCCGCAAGCCUGAUCCAGCUAUCCCGCGGGAGUGAUGAAGGCCUUAGGGUUGUAAAGCCCUUUUGUUGGGAAAGAAAAGCAGCCGAUUAACACCCCGCUGUUCUGACGGUACCCAAAGAAUAAGCACCGGCUAACUUCGUG